rnacentral:rRNA from 1 species
GACGAACGCUGGCGGCGUGCUUAACACAUGCAAGUCGAGCGAGAGAAAUUCCUUCGGGAAUGGAUUAGCGGCGGACGGGUGAGUAACACGUGGGUAACCUGCCUCAUAGAGGGGAAUAGCCUUUCGAAAGGAAGAUUAAUACCGCAUAAGAUUGUAGUAUCGCAUGAUACAGCAAUUAAAGGAGUAAUCCGCUAUGAGAUGGACCCGCGUCGCAUUAGCUAGUUGGUGAGGUAACGGCUCACCAAGGCGACGAUGCGUAGCCGACCUGAGAGGGUGAUCGGCCACAUUGGGACUGAGACACGGCCCAGACUCCUACGGGAGGCAGCAGUGGGGAAUAUUGCACAAUGGGGGAAACCCUGAUGCAGCAACGCCGCGUGAGUGAUGACGGUCUUCGGAUUGUAAAACUCUGUCUUCAGGGACGAUAAUGACGGUACCUGAGGAGGAAGCCACGGCUAACUACGUGCCAGCCGCCGCCGUAA